UUGACAGCCCUGGAGACCAAAGUCCUCAGUUUAUCCACAGAACAGGUGAAAAUCUUCCCACAACGUGCAGCAAUAUGUCUCGGCUCUGACGUCAAACAUUACCUCAAGGCUUGAGAGGCUACAUUCCUCUCACUGCCUGAUCAACCAUUUGCCUCC
rnacentral:sRNA from 1 species